rnacentral:rRNA from 1 species
AUGGCCACGAUGGGUGGGGACCGAAGGCAGAUGAUGGAGGAUGCGGCGGAGGACAAGUUUCCCGAAGGGUUACGCGUCCUCGUCGUGGACGACGACUGCGUCUGCCUCAUGGUACUUGAAGCCCUGUUGCGCCGCUGUAAAUACCAACCAAUGACGGUGAUGGAUGGAAAGACGGCGCUCAGGAUGCUCAUGGCGGGGAAGCAGCAGUUCGACCUGGUCAUUACCGAUGUGCGCAUGCCGGACAUGGACGGCUUCAAGCUCCUCGAGCUCAUCCGCCUCGCGAUGGAUCUGCCCGUCAUCAUGAUAUCCGUUGAUUGCGACAAGAAGGUUGUGAUGAAGGGGAUAGAUCAUGGCGCGUCCGACUUUAUGGUGAAGCCAGUGCGUACCCAUGAGCUCAAAAACAUAUGGCAACAUGUUCAAAGGUGGAGAAAUCCCAAAGCAAUAAGCCACAGCAGCGAUCAUGACAAUGAUGUCCAGAGAGUUCAACCAGCGACUACUGACAAGAGUAAGUACUCGGGGAAUAAGAGAAAUGUUGGAGAUGAUUCUAGCGAGAACAAUGAGGGCACGCAUAUAUCCGCCAUCCACAGAAAGCCCAGGAUGACAUGGAAAAUUGCACUGCAUAACAAGUUUCUAGAAGCUAUCAACCAGAUCGGCCUUGAUAGUAAGAAUUCACAUCUUGUGCCUCAUUCAUCGACAAUGCUGGUGGCUGCUCGAUAUUUUCAUUAUAAUUUUUAUUACAUAAUUGUAGGGCUGUUCCAAAAAAGGUAUUGGAGCUGA